AUGAAACACAACGUCAGCUGGUCCUUCGGCCCCUCCAUACUGGACAUCUUCCUGGGCUCAGAAUCCUCUCUGUGCAACGACCCCGGUUCAGAAUGCCCCAGUCCUGCCGGCCACUACAGCCGCCCUGCCUCCCAAACCGCCACCAAUGACGACGAUGAAGACUCCAUGUUCAGCUGCAACCGCCACAACCUCACUGUCUUCAACGAGACCCCGUGCGCCCACGUCCUUGCCGCUCCGCCGGAGGACCCCCCCACCUCGCUGGGGGUGUUCUGCCGCGCACUCAGCCAGCUCAGCCCCGCGCAGCUGGAGCACGUCUGGGGUAACACGUGUCACGCCAUCCAGGCGCUGAUGUCGCCCGUCCUCGCCCGGGCGCCCGCUUGUGACACCGGAGGCUACACGCCGCCACCGCCGCCGCCUGUCCUGCCCCUCCCCCCGUUGCAGGCCCGCCGCGCCAGGGCGUCGCCCAACCUCCGAAACCUGGUCUGUGACUAUGACUCCUGGUUUCAGGGUGAGGCAGUGGACGCCGGGGUGGUGAGCUUGUGCUCCGAUAACGACCGCGCCCUGUUCGUGGAGCAGGUGUGUGACAGCCCGCUGCGCAUGAUGCAGCUGCUGUCGGACCCCAACAACCACUGGAUGUUGGACUUUUGUGGUAACCUGACGUCGAACCCAGGAAUGCUGCUGAGCCUCUUCUGUGCCUACGAGGGCUGGAUGAACCAGCCGGAGGUGCCCUCUGCCAUGGUGGCCUUCUGCUGGAGCAUGGACGGCGGCAGGCUGAAGGAUCUGGUCUGCAAGGACCUCGGCCUCUUCAACUUCUUGUUCAUCAACCCGGACAACGUGGCUCUGAUCCCCAACUGCACGCACCUCGCCCUGCAGUUGCCGACGGAAGGGACCCUGGACGAGUUGGUGGCGGACUCCUGCCGCUACUCCGAGUGGCACGAUGUCAUGCAGAUCCCCAUGAACGUCAUGUCCCUCUGCACCCGCAACGAUGCCGCGCGAUUCGCCGCCGAGGUGUGCGCCAACGCCACCUUCUUUAGCGCUCUGCUGCAGAACCAGGUGUACGCCAGUUGGCUGGAGGUGUUCUGUGCCAACGUGUCUCAGGUAGCCCCGCAGACCACGCCGCCAUCCAGGGUCAUCUACUGGUGCGACUACGAGAACUGGGGCGACCGGCACGUGGACCCCUCGGUGGUGGGGCUGUGUUGGCAACACGAUAAGGACAACUUCACCACGAAGGUGUGCUGCAACUCCACGCUGUUCGAUCAGCUGGCGGCGGAGACCCAGAACAAAUGGCUGCUGACGGCGUGCGGGGACAGAGACGUGGCGGAGAUGAUACCACAGGUUUGCAGAUACUCGGAGUGGACCCGGCCCAUCAUCGUGGACAUGACCGAUCUGGCGCGCUGUGCUGAGCUGGACCCCUUCAACUUCACCACCAGGGUGUGCGCCGAUGGCGUUGUGCUGAAGCACCUCCUGGCCAACCCGGACAACAUUUGGCUGCUGCAGCACUGCAUCAACGGGUCCCAACCCGGGGAGCCGCUGGGCUUCAACCUCUUCGAGCAGUGCCAGUACGCCAGCUGGGGCCUGUCGCUCCCGGACCAGGACCUCAUGGCUCUGUGCUGGAAAUACGACCAGGUGAACUUCGCUAGGUCAGUCUGCCUAGACGUCAACCUUCUGGCCUGGCUCGCCCAGGACACUUCCACCAUGUGGGUGAGCCAACUGUGCCACAGCUUCAGCCACCACGGUGCAAACGACAGCGGCCCCGGGGAGGAGAGCCAGCCCUGCCUGGCCCGAGAGCUGGUGAUGAGGUUUAACUGGUCCUGCUCGGCCGACCUGGCUCCGGUGUGCAGGCCCGGGGCGAGCGUCACGGCCUCCCUGCAGGCGGUGCUGCGCUGCUGGGUGGAGAGCCUGACCCAGCGGAUGCAGGGUCUGUCGGUGCUGAACAAGGCGGCCAGCAUGAGCGUGGUGAUGCUGGUGGCGCUGGAGGAGAGGCAGCUGACGUCGCUGCGCGUCACGGACCAUAUCCGGCGGAGCGUGCUGAACUCCACCGCCCUCUACCUGGAGAGAGAGACCAACUUCGAGAACAAGAGGGUCCUCCUGCAGUGCUUUGGGAAAGAACUCACCAGCCUGAUGGAGUCGCGCACCAUACUGGACCCAGAGGUCUUCCUCAUCCAGGAGUAUUUCCGGAUCCCUCUGGAGAGUCUGCGUGCUGUGCUGAGUGGGGUGGACAACACCACGGCCCGGGAGAUCCUCGAGCACUACAGUCGGCAUAAGAACUCACUGCAGCUAACGGAUGUCUAUUUAUCGGCCAUGGUGUCUGUGUUCAUCCCCGUCCACCUGUGGAAGGACAGCAGGCUGUUCACAGAGCUGGCUCCUCUUCUACCCUGGGCCUCCCUGGCCGACAUCAAUGCUCUACCCCCACUGCAGUCCAACGCCUUUGUCCGGGGUGCGAUCAACGACAACCUGGAACUCAUGCGCCUGGCCCAGCGCCAGGCGUUUGGCCAGUGGUUCAGCCGGGCCAUGGCGCCGCUCAACAUGACCAGCGGCGCACGCUCUCUCAUCAGGGACACCGGGAACCUGAUCGUCUACCUGCCCUUCCAAAGCUUCCAACACCUCUCCCCUGCUCAGCUGCUGGACGGGCUGGAGGUGCUGCGGAGAAACACGCCUCAGCACCCUGCAGCAGGACUUUCAUAGCUCAGAGAAUUCAUCGGUGCCUACAAGAACCUCUCCAUUCAGGACUUCAACAGGCUGGGGAACCUGACCUGCCUGGUAGAGCCUUCAGAGCUGCUGCUCUACAGGAACUCUGAGGUUUUCCCCGUCAUCCAGAGACUCAUCUCCAACUGCGCCCAACACAGGCUGAAUUUGCCCAGUGACAUG
ensembl:lncRNA